rnacentral:lncRNA from 1 species
AAGAAAUUCAUAGAACUCAUCUGCUAGACGUUUACGCUUUUUAGCUUUUUUUUCUUCUUUCUCCCUGGCCCUUUCCAGUAACUCCUCAAAGACAAACUAUGCAGAUGAAAUAUGCACAUUCAAUACUCAAUGACCCGGCAAGCCCAAAUGCCUAGAACAUAUAGUUUAGAAAGGAAGCAUGGAAUAAGAUUUAGUAUAAUCCAUGUAUGUCCUAUUAUUUCUUCGUUUGGAAGGCACGGGGCAUAUAAUGUAAAAGUAUUAUUACCAUCUUUUGGAGUAAUUCCUC